rnacentral:lncRNA from 10 species
GUACAGUCUCAGCCCUGCAGAGCCAUCCCUGAGCACCCACCACUCCCACGGUGAGAAACCUUGCUGGGGGGGCAGGGGGUGCCUGUGAAGCCUUGUCCCCUGACCCACAGGAGCCCAGGGGCAGGAGGGUGAGCAGCAAACUGCAGCCACCACUCCAGCACCCAGCGAACCCUCUUCAUGGGACCCAUUCAUCUCUGCUCAUGGGGCACCUUUUGCCAAAUUAGACACACUUUUGCCUAUUUAUUUCAUACACUGUCAAAAGUGUUUUCCUUGUCUUUAAUUCGGUCACAGCUCUCUCUGUAGAAGUUGUCAAAAUAGCAGAAGUCAAAUCUGGUAAUAUUUAUGACUAAAGAUGGCGAGGAGCCAUGUGAGAACCAACCUGCUGCCUAGGAAAGACCAACGAGAAGUGCUGCGGGUUCCACCCCAUAUCCCCUGGGCCACUGCUUGGGACCCCUGAUGGGUGGAUAAUCUCAGAACCCAUCAGGCACCAAAUCUAGAAGGGUUCCAUUAUGGCUGCCCUAACUCCCACCCCACAUAGAAGUCCUACUUGGCUCAGCUCUGAGCAGAUAAGGAGAAAUAAAGACUGACCAUUAUUGAAUCUUAUCCCUUUCUACACAUUUGGGCUCCUUCCACCUCUCAACCACCUGUGAUACAAGCAAUAGGAUUGUCCCCAUCAUGCAGAUGAAGAAACCAAGGCCCAGGGAGGCCCAGAAGGCCACUCAGAGUCACACAGGGCUUGGCUGUGCAGCCGGGGUUUGCCGCAGGCCCCUGACUCCAGAGCUGGCGCCUUCGGAACCACAUGAUGGUGUCUGCAGCAUAUUCAGGAGGAGAAGAGCGGAUCUGCACAGAGCAGUAGGAUCCAGUGGGUAUCCAAGGGGCCAGAGGAGAAGGGGCUGCUGUGGUCCCUAGUCCAGUGGGAAGGGCAGGAGGCACCAGGAAGAAUCUGCCUGGCAGGGCAGGGAAAGAUGGGAGCUCAUUGCUGGGUUGCUCCAGCCUCAGGAGAGUUGGGAACCAUCUGGGUCCCCAGUCAGGAUGCCUAAAGAAGAGGCCAGGGGAGGCCAGGUAGAUGUCAUUGCCUCUGGGGACAAUCUGAUAAUUCCCCAGAGCAGGUGGGACUGGCUGGAGACCACGAAGGCUCCUCGAAAUGGAGGCAGAUUCUCCAGCCUCAUCUGCCUCCAUAUUUGGUGAAGAGAGCUACACAGAAAGCAUGGGGAGA